UGCUCAUGCCUCCCAGGAGCAUGUUCCUCAAGACUCAGCCCACAGGGUCUUUGCUAUAUAAAUAUGUGGCUGUCUGACAAGGAGAAUGAAUUUGUUGCAGAGGCAUGGCACAGAUGUAUCCCUCCACCCCAUGGCUGAUUUACAUGGAGUCACUCCCAUAUGAAGCUACAGUGAGGAAACAAGGCUGACAAAUUCUAAUCUCAUAUGUAAUGAGAUAAGCAUGUAAGACAUCCAGCAUCCAGGAGUACACAAGUUGGCUCAGAAAAAUGACCAGCUCCACAGCAAUACUCCCUCUCACAGGUGUAACUCAGCUGAUUACACCAGGGUACGACUGGAGCUAAUGCUGUCCUAAAGCAGGACCUCUGUGUCUGAAAGGAGCCCCUUCCAUUUGUUUGUUAUUAGUGUUGCAGGCUCACAGGGACUUCCCAGCUCUAUGAGUUGUUUGGAAAAGGUGUGCCAGGGUUUGCAAAACCUGAUCCCAGGACAUUUCCCCUAUCCAGAUAUGAGGAGAUUUUUACAAGCAUUUGAAAGAUGAAGAAACUCAACUCCUGGAAUCAAGGUUUGUUACUAAGAAAGCAAAGUGUCGCUGCAUGGCAGGUCUAUUUCACACUGACAUUUUUAUUUUCAAAUGGAAAUGCCCUGUGUUAGUAUGACACAGUGCCUGUUGUGAAUGAACUGGCCAAUUAGUAUGAAUCCUGUGAUCCAUUCUGAAAGCAGACUGAAUGUAUUUCUGAAUGAGUUAGUGUAGAAUAAGGUUUGUAUGGACACCUAUCUAUUUUACACUACUUUGGCAGUCCUCCAACAGCUAUCCCACACUGCUUUGCCUCCUGCUAGGCUUGGCCUGUUUACCUGCAUGCCCUUUACUGCUGUAGGGUCACAUUGACUGGAUGUUGGUUCUCUCAUUCAAACCUGGCAUGUAGCCAGGAUUAGUCCAUUUGCGGCUGUGAGGCGCAUACCUCAGCCUUGCACCAUUGUUAUUACAACAAUAUUAUAGCAGCCAUGCCUUGUGCAUCUGUCUGGAGUUGUGCAGGCGUCCUGUAUUUGCUCACCAUCUGGGAGAAGAGAGCAUAAGCCUGACAGGCUAGCAGCCACCAUAAUAAGCAGAUAUACGAUCCUCUAUCUCAGCAAAUGGCCAAGAGGGGUCACUCCCUGCACUUUGCUCAGUGCUGCAACACAGGCAAGAAGAAGUUUAGAUGCUGAGAAAGCAAAGUACAGGAACCGGAGUCCAGUGGUGCUGGGCUCAUGUACCACUGGAGCUCUUCUUUUUCUGAGAAGAUUAAAAGAAUUUUUUUCCUGGGAGGCUACGACCAAACCCAGAUUGUGGUGGACAGCUCUACUCUGAUCUCUAAGAAAUCUUCGUUAAAAUUCUUCCUAGUUCUUGGAUAUCCCAGUUCUGCAGGGCAGUCCUUCCCUACCAGUCAACACUUGUUUCCUGGUGCAGAAAAAGCUCAGCUACAAGGUGCUGCUGGAUUUCCUCUUCGGCCUCUUCCUCCUGCAACUGUGAGUUGCUCAGCAGCAUGGCAGCUGGCUUACAAAUUGAAAGCCACCCAGUGGCAAGAUCUCACAUACCCCUGCAGCACCAUCUGUGAGUGGAAGUGGUCCGCAUGGUGGCAGGGAGCAGGGUGCUGCCUGACAAAACAGUGAUGAUCCUUGGAAAGACAUCGUGGGAAUUUGUAACUUUGAUCUCGAGUCCUAGAAUCCUAGUGGCUUCUAAUAAGUGCCCCACAAAGCAUUGUGGCAAAAAGGGCCACUAGGCUUGGCAGUAAGACAAAACACUGUGAACUAUCCACCUGCUAUCCUGCACACUUCUUUCAAAAGCAGGCAUUGCUCUAUUGUACGCGCUGAUUCCAAGGGAAGUAGCUAACAGCUGUGCAUGUAGAUACACUUAUUAAGAAUAGUUAUUCUGCAAUAGUUAAUGUGCUAAUGCACAAGGGGAGUGUCUACACAUGCAUUAACAUGCAGUAAGGUUACUGUGCAGUAAAAUAAAGUGCAGUAAACUGAGCCUGGGAACAUGUAUACAUGUGUACCCUGUUGGGUGCAGAUUUGUGCCCAAUGGGAGCAGUCUGUUCCAGGGCUUUUCCAGUCCUACUCUGCCUUCUUGCACCCUUCAGAGGGAGCUCCAGGCUCCUCCAGGUGCCAGCCCAGGGGCUGGUAGGGAGCAUGGGGGCUGGUCCCAAUGUGUAUAAAGCCCGGAGAGUUGUGCCAGCUGCUGAGGCAGCUGUCUCUCGCCCUGUGCACAUGGGACUGGUCCCCAUGUGCAUGGGGCCAGGAGAGCUGUGUGGGCUGCAAAAUAGCUCCUGGUCAGCAUCUAAACAUGUGCCACUGCACAUUACCUAACGUGCUGUUUAUCUGGUACCUAUAUGUGUUGGUACUAGCAAAUGGUGCAUUAGACUAAUGUAAUGCACAGUAAGUCCAGUGCAUGUGUAGACAGUGAGGCUUUACUGAGCAUUAGAUUAGCUUAAUGUGCAGUAAAGCAUCUUGUGUAGAUGCACCCAGGGUGAAGUAGAAUCCCAUGUAGACCACUCUAAUGCUUUAAGUUUUCAAUUUUGAGCAUGAAUGUUUUGAAGAAUUCCAUCCUUUUACAGAUUUUCCCAAAUGCCUGAAACACCCAUUUGUGUUUCAGUCCCAGGCACCAUUGUUAAGACAAUAUCUGAACUUGUACCAAAGCAGAACCUUUUGUGUGUGAGCAGCGUGUGAUGCUUCGGGUUGAAUGAAUCUUCUAUUGGCCUCAUUAAUGCUCUUGUGAUUAAGUAGCUGCAGUGGGAUCCUAGGUUUAAACCUGGCUUUGAAACCGGCUUUCUGUUUGACCUUAUGUAAGACCAUCUCAUGCUACGGGUAUGCACAGUGCCUACCAUCAAACCCCUUGAACUGUCUGAUGUAAGCUAACAUGAUCUCUACCUUAUGUAUGACAGACCUACAGCAGCUACUCUAAGUUCAUGCGUAGCAAACGAAUAAAGCAACAAUUUGUGGUUGUCA